CCCAGCAUGGCGUAGUGGUUUGAGUGUUGGACUGCAACUCUGUAGAGACCAGGGGUCGAUUCCCAGUUCUGCCA